CUGUGAGAACCACUGCCUUUGAGAACUGGAAGGAUGGUUUCUCCUGAAAAAUCUGAGUGCUGUUGCCUGCAGAUAAAUGAUGAGUGAAUGAAGGUGGAAGUUACUGGAAGGAAGGCAGGCGGUCAUGGAGGCUGAGCACAAAGAAUAAACGACUUGAGAGAAAUGAAAAAAUACGUUGUCACAGUCCCAAAGCUGGAACAGGAUGCAUAAGACAAAUAUUAAU
rnacentral:lncRNA from 1 species